rnacentral:rRNA from 1 species
GACGAACGCUGGCGGCGUGCUUAACACAUGCAAGUCGAACGGAAAGGCCUCUUUCGGGGGGUACUCGAGUGGCGAACGGGUGAGUAACACGUGAGUAACCUGCCCUUGACUUUGGGAUAACUUCAGGAAACUGGGGCUAAUACCGGAUAGGAGCUCCUGCUGCAUGGUGGGGGUUGGAAAGUUUCGGCGGUUGGGGGUGUACUCGCGGCUUAUCAGCUUGUUGGUGGGGUAGUGGCUUACCAAGGCUUUGUCGGGUAGCCGGCCUGAGAGGGUGACCGGCCACAUUGGGACUGGGAUACGGCCCAGACUCCUACGGGAGGCAGCAGGGGGGAAUAUUGCACAAAGGGUGGAAGCCUGAUGCAGCAACGCCGUGGGCGGGAUGACGGCCUUCGGGUUGGAAACCGCUUUCGCUCAUGACGAAGCUUUGUGUGACGGUAGUGGGUAAAGAAGCACCGGCUAACUACGUG